AUGACUCCAUCACCAGUGCAGCCAGUGCCAGUGGCCAACCACUCUUUCCAGUUGAUCAUUUUAAAGUGAAGGCUCUUGUCUUGGUGCACGACCCCCUGCUUUGCACCCAUCUCAUCCUCCUGCCUUCAGGCUGCUCGGUGGGGUUGUUCAGCUCUUCCCAGCUGACACCACCACGAUCCCUGUUGGUGCUGAUGACGUUGUGCUGAAUUUCUUCUGGCAUGAAACAACACAUUUUGGGCAGGAUGGGCAUUUUUGGGUGGAUGAGAGAAUGUGGCCAACUUUAUUAGACUUUUUACCCACGAGAGCAAGGUGGGCAGAGGAAUGCUGAACCAGACAGGCUGCCCUCCAAGGGCUUAAAGUUUACAGGACUGAAAAGUUCAGAGCAAAAAUGGAGGGUGAAAGCUGGUAGAAACUGCUGUCAUCACACACCUGGAGAGCUCAGGUGGAGGCUGUUAGACCAGAUAAAAGAAAUGUGAGAAGAGAGAAAGGCAAAUGGGGGGUGGUGUGACCUGUGUUUGGAGUGAGUGUGGGAGCAGCUGGCAAGAGGAAUGGGUGAACUGCAAGAGGAGCAAACAGGAAGAUGCGGGAGGAGGAUAGGUUGGAUUUGGAAGCCACAGUCCUGGGAAUGAAGCCAUGCUGCAGGGGACAGGCUGCAAGAGGUCUGGAUGGGUGCACGUCAGGCUGUCCCCUUCUUGGGGCUUCCUAUAAGCUGUGUGGUCCUAGGAAAUGCUUACAACCCCAUCUCAUCACCAUCAUCUGAAGAUCUGGCAAUGUUUCUCUACCAUAAGGAUGGCAAACAGCCCCAAACUGCCCCAUCUGAAUGCAUCAUCCCUUCCUGCCUAUCUGUGCUCUCCCACUUCCCCAUCAUGACUGGAAUUAGAAUAAACCCACAGAAGAGGAGAAGUGUCCUUCAGCAUUGCAAGCUUGACCAGUGCAGGGAGAAAUCCACACCAACCAUCUGGUUCUGCACAUCCAGACUCCAGCAGAGGUGAAGCUUCAGCUUUCCUGCUCAGCUCCAGUGUUCCCCAACAUCGUGUUUGUGAGCUCUGCCUGCAGCCCCUGCAUGUGGGGGCACGCAGGGGUAGAUAAGCAUCUCUCUUGGGUUUGGCCCCAGGGUGCAGCCUUUAUGGAAAAUCCAGCCUGGCUUUGGCCACUGAGUACAGCAUGUGUCAGGACUGGCCUUCUGGGGUUCCUGGCACAACAUUUUCCCCACCAAGGCUUCGGCUCUGGACCAAACCCUUCAUCCCAACCCAGGAAAACAUUUCACACCUGCUCGAGUGCUUUCAAGCCACUGGGAUGCUUUCCCAGGUUGAGCUGCAGCAGGGGCCCUGGGGCUGCGUCUAUCCCAGCAAAUUAAAUAGUUCCAGGGUUCAGACACCAAUUAUCCUCGCUGUUUAAAUUAUUAGCACUCACCCAGCUAACACUGAGACGUGGUUCAGCACAGCCCCGAGUGCUGCGCUCAGUGUUGGGUCCUUCACUAUGAGAAAGACAUUGGAUGACUCCAGGACCUCAGAGAAGAACAACAGGGCUGAGAGGGGGCUGGAGCACAGCUUUUAUGGGGAGAAGCUGAGGGAAUGGGAUGAGUCGGUCUGGAGAACAGGAGGCUCAGGGGAUCAUUAUUACUGCUAUGUACAACUCGCUGGAACGAGGUUGGAGUGAGGUGGGGGUUGGUAAUGGCAACAGGAUGAGAGGUGAUGAUGGCCUCCCCACGGGAAGGUCAGGUUGGAUAUUAGGAAACCUUUCAUCUCCAAAACAGAGCAGGACAUGGUCAGUGGUCAUGGUGAAUGGGUUGGGCUGGGACUUGGGGAUCCUACAGAUCUUUUGAUUCUACGAGCCCUUCCCAGCAGGUGAGCUGGAUGUGGGAGCCCCAU